AGAGUUUGAUCCUGGCUCACGAUGAAUGCUGGCGGCGUGCCUAACACAUGCAAGUCGAGCGGCAGCGCGAAUGAGUUUACUACUUGGCGGCGAGCGGCGAACGGCUGAGUAACGCGUGGGAACGUACCCCAAAGUGAGGAAUAACCGCUCGAAAGGGUGGCUAAUGCCGCAUAUGGUCUUCGGAUUAAAGGAUUUAUCCGCUUUGGGAACGGCCUGCGUACGAUUAGAUAGUUGGUGAGGUAAAGGCUCACCAAGUCAACGAUCGUUAACUGGUCUGAGAGGAUGAUCAGUCAGACUGGAACUGAGACACGGUCCAGACUCCUACGGGAGGCAGCAGUGAGGAAUCUUCCACAAUGGGCGAAAGCCUGAUGGAGCAACGCCGCGUGCAGGAUGAAGGCCUUCGGGUCGUAAACUGCUUUUAUAAGUGAAGAAUUUGACGGUAACUUAUGAAUAAGCACCGGCUAACUACGUGCCAGCCGCCGCGGUCAUACGUAGGGUGCAAGCAUUAUCCGGAGUGACUGGGCGUAAAGAGUUGCGUAGGUGGUUUGAUAAUUGAAUAGUGAAAUCUGGUGGCUUAACCACACAGACUAUUAUUCAAACUGGCAAACUCGAGAAUAGCAGAGGUAACUGGAAUUUCUAGUGUAGGAGUGAAAUCCGUAGAUAUUAGAAGGAACACCAAUGGCGUAUGCAGGUUACUGGGCUAUUUCUGACACUGAGGCACGAAAGCGUGGGGAGCGAACCGGAUUAGAUACCCGGGUAGUCCACGCCGUAAACGAUGGAUACUAGCUGUUGGAGGUAUCGACCCCUUCAGUAGCGAAGCUAACGCGUUAAGUAUCCCGCCUGUGAAGUACGGCCGCAAGGAUAAAACAUAAAGGAAUUGACGGGGACCCGCACAAGCGGUGGAGCGUGUUCUUUAAUUCGAUGAUAAACG
rnacentral:rRNA from 1 species